GACGUAGGAGACAACCGUUAUCCGGAGUUACUGGGCGUAAAGGGCGUGUAGGCGGUCUGUUAAGUCUGGCGUGAAAGCUCUCGGCUAAACCGGGAGAGGUCGUUGGAUACUGGCAGACUAGAGGACGGUAGAGGCGUGUGGAAUUCCGGGUGUAGUGGUGAAAUGCGUAGAGAUCCGGAGGAACACCAGUGGCGAAGGCGACACGCUGGGCCGUACCUGACGCUAAAGCGCGACAGCAUGGGGAGCAAACGGG
rnacentral:rRNA from 1 species